AUAAUUAAAACUAUCGGAUUUUGUUCGUUAUACGCGUUCACGUUACCUACAUUCUCUAUUUCUCUCUCUCUCUCAAUUUUUUCCCCUCGUCUACAAUGUUAUCAUUAUUAUUACACUCUGUGAAGUGUUUCGGAGGCCCACAAACUGCUCAAAUAUAUACUGAACUAAUGACAACUGUCACACGCAAUAAUAAUACGCGAUGCGAACGGUCUCGUACCUACUAUGUGAUAAUAGGUGGGAACAAACGACGUGUCUUCGGUUUGUAACAUGGAAAUAUUGUCACGAUGGCAAACUAUAACAAAUACGCGUAUACCUAACC